rnacentral:rRNA from 1 species
GACAGAGGAUGCAAGCGUUAUCCGGAAUGAUUGGGCGUAAAGCGUCUGUAGGUGGCUUUUUAAGUCCGCCGUCAAAUCCCAGGGCUCAACCCUGGACAGGCGGUGGAAACUACCAAGCUGGAGUACGGUAGGGGCAGAGGGAAUUUCCGGUGGAGCGGUGAAAUGCGUAGAGAUCGGAAAGAACACCAGUGGCGAAGGCGGCUCACUGGACCGACACUGACGCUGAGGCGCGAAAGCGUGGGGAGCAAACAGG